GGCUUAGAGUUUGAUCAUGGCUCAGAGUGAACGCUGGCGGUAGGCCUAACACAUGCAAGUCGAACGGCAGCACAGGAGAGCUUGCUCUCUGGGUGGCGAGUGGCGGACGGGUGAGGAAUACAUCGGAAUCUACUCUGUCGUGGGGGAUAACGUAGGGAAACUUACGCUAAUACCGCAUACGACCUACGGGUGAAAGCAGGGGACCUUCGGGCCUUGCGCGAUUGAAUGAGCCGAUGUCGGAUUAGCUAGUUGGCGGGGUAAAGGCCCACCAAGGCGACGAUCCGUAGCUGGUCUGAGAGGAUGAUCAGCCACACUGGAACUGAGACACGGUCCAGACUCCUACGGGAGGCAGCAGUGGGGAAUAUUGGACAAUGGGCGCAAGCCUGAUCCAGCCAUACCGCGUGGGUGAAGAAGGCCUUCGGGUUGUAAAGCCCUUUUGUUGGGAAA
rnacentral:rRNA from 1 species